rnacentral:rRNA from 1 species
GACGAACGCUGGCGGCGUGCUUAACACAUGCAAGUCGAACGGAAAGGCCCUGCUUUUGUGGGGUGCUCGAGUGGCGAACGGGUGAGUAACACGUGAGUAACCUGCCCUUGACUUUGGGAUAACUUCAGGAAACUGGGGCUAAUACCGGAUAGGAGCUCCUGCUGCAUGGUGGGGGUUGGAAAGUUUCGGCGGUUGGGGAUGGGCUCGCGGCUUAUCAGCUUGUUGGUGGGGUAGUGGCUUACCAAGGCUUUGACGGGUAGCCGGCCUGAGAGGGUGGCCGGCGACAUUGGGACUGAGAUACGGCCCAGACUCCUACGGGAGGCAGCAGUGGGGAAUAUUGCACAAUGGGCGGAAGCCUGAUGCAGCAACGCCGCGUGCGGGAUGACGGCCUUCGGGUUGUAAACCGCUUUCGCCUGUGACGAAGCGUGAGUGACGGUAAUGGGUAAAGAAGCACCGGCUAACUACGUG